AGGAAUCGAGCCUCCUCAGCUGAUGCGUCCCUCGUCAUCAUUGAUGGUGGUGAGAUGAGGCGACAGCGAGCGCGCCUCACAUGUUAAUUUUCAGUUUCUACAAAAGCACUAAUGGUUGAAAUCGUGCGUAAAUCACCAGUGGCAACUGAUGAACGUAAUUUACUACCUAAUAAUGCAUCUCCUGCUCUAUAAAUUCCUUUCCUCAAACUCUCCCCUGGUCUACAAGGUCGCCGUGGAUGUGGAGGACGGCCAGCACAGGCAAGCCAAACCUCUAAAGGAGCGUUGCCGUGGCAUUCUUGCUGCUGCCGUCGAUGACGCACGCAGAUGGGUCACUCCUCGGCGCUCUAGAAAAGCGCCAGGGCAGCGAUGAUGCAGGCAGCGCUCUUGGAGGAGGGAGAUGUGCAGCUGGAGGCCACCACACAAUUUCGGAAUUUGCUCUCGAAUCUUCAUUGAUGGGACCUGAAUUUACAGCAGCUCAUAUAUGUGGAUACUAUUUGCCUUAGCUGAAUUAUGGGGCUGAAACUAGGAUGAUUUUGGGGCAAUUGCGGAUAAAUAACGUCAGAUCCUGGCCUAGGACAUUAAAUGAGAAGAAUCGCUAUAUUGUGUAAAAGUACUUGUAAUGUUGUUCUCAGUCUCUUAGGUUCAGAUCUGGAUGACCCGUCAGCACCAAGAUAAUGUUAAAAGCACAAACUUUUUGAGAAAUUUAUUUUAUGUAACGGAGUGACCUUUAGUACAGAAUUUGACUCUAAUUGUACUACUGCUUUUCUGAAAUUUGACACAUACAGCUCUUCACCUUUCCUUUUUCUUCUUUUGUCCUAUUUAAUUACAUCCUGAAGUAACUGAAUGGUUGUUUCUACUAAGUCAAGUUUUAUCAUAGUUUUUGUCCCUAAUACAGAAUUUAUGCCUUUCCAGGAUAGGCAGUUCUAAAAUUUCUCAGCUGCUCUAUGGAUGUAUGAUUGGGAGGUGAAUUGCCUUGCACCACCAUGUGUCCCUAAUUUCCAGGAUAGACAUGAGCUACCCAGUGUAGCACUUAUAUUGGGCUGCCAUGCUAAAGCUCAAUUAAAUAAAAAUGACUUGCUAGAGCAUCGAAUACUACAAUGUACAUAUGUGGUUCAAAAGCCAUUUCUCCUUGGAUAUGAA